GGCAAGGUGGCCGAGUGGUUAAGGCGGUGGUUUUAAGUCAAUAUCUACCAAGAUGUUUUAAGCACCACUAUCGUAAGAUGCAAGGGUUCGAACCCCUUCCUUGUCA